UACAGAGGUCUCAAGCGUUGUUCGGAAUCAUUGGGCGUAAAGCGCGUGUAGGCGGUCCGGUAAGUCCGCUGUGAAAGUCGGGGGCUCAACCCUCGAAUGCCGGUGGAUACUGUCGGGCUAGAGUACGGAAGAGGCGAGUGGAAUUCCCGGUGUAGCGGUGAAAUGCGCAGAUAUCGGGAGGAACACCAAUGGCGAAGGCAGCUCGCUGGGACGGUACUGACGCUGAGACGCGAAAGCGUGGGGAGCAAACAGG
rnacentral:rRNA from 1 species